ACACAAAUUUUAAAUAAAUUUUAGACAAAGCUCAAUAAAACCCUAAGUCCUAGAUAAAUUCUAGACAAAUCUUAGAUAAAUUUGAAUCAAGUUUUAAACCAAAUCUUAAGAAAAUCCUAAUCUUAACCAAAUCCUAGACUAAAUCUUAAACCAAAUCUUAAUCAAACCUUAGAUCUUAAAAAAACUCUCAACAAAUCCUAUAGCAAAAUAGAACCUCAACAACUAAUGAUCAAACUAUUAAUAUCAACUCAAAAUUUGCAUACUUUUUAAUAUCUUAAUUAAAAAAUAAGUACAAGAAAGAUCAAAUUGAUCGUACUUAUCAAUUGAAAAAAAUGCAAGAUAAUACAAUCAACAUAUUAAUAUAUUAUUCAAAUUUCACUUAUACAUAUACCACAGAAUUUAAGAAAUCUUCAAAUUUUUAAACAUAUUUUUAUUUUUCAAAUCCUCAUCCUACCAAGAACAUCAUUAAUUUUGAAUAUCCUUCAAAAUCUCAAUAUUGAUUCAAAUGAAAUGAAAUCAAUGCUUAAAAAUCUAUCUUUAAUUUUGCUCUUGAAUUUGCUCUUUGAUCUAUAAAAGAAUCCAAGAGUCACCAUC
rnacentral:lncRNA from 1 species